UUGCUUCAGCAGCACAUAUACUAGAAAUUAGAAUGAUACAGAGAAGAUUAGCAUGGGCCCUGCACAAGGGUGACAUACAAAUUUGUGAAGUGUUCCAUAUUUUU